AUUGAACGCUGGCGGCAUGCCUUACACAUGCAAGUCGAACGGUAACGGGCCUUCGGGUGCCGACGAGUGGCGAACGGGUGAGUAAUGUAUCGGAACGUACCUUUCAGUGGGGGAUAACGUAGCGAAAGUUACGCUAAUACCGCAUAUUCUGUGAGCAGGAAAGCAGGGGAUCGCAAGACCUUGCGCUGAUUGAGCGGCCGAUAUCAGAUUAGCUAGUUGGUGAGGUAAAGGCUCACCAAGGCGACGAUCUGUAGCGGGUCUGAGAGGAUGAUCCGCCACACUGGAACUGAGACACGGUCCAGACUCCUACGGGAGGCAACAGUGGGGAACUUUGGACAAUGGGGGCGAACCCUGAUCCAGCCAUGCUGCGUGAGUGAAGAAGGCCUC
rnacentral:rRNA from 1 species